ACUUCCUUUUAAAUCAGUCCAGAGAGGCUGGCAAAGGUAUUUAAAGUUAACUCUAAUUAAAUUUGAGGUGGGGCUAACUAUAUCAUUUUUGACCUUCAAACCAUUCUUUCUGGUGAGAGGGUUUUAUUUUU
rfam:Halanaerobium kushneri strain ATCC 700103 genome assembly, contig: Ga0104713_113